CAAUAGCGUAUAUUAAAGUUGUUGCAGUUAAAAAGCUCGUAGUUGAAUUUCGGGUCCCCGCGCUCGGCGCUUCAUUGUGCCGUCGUGGUGUCCCUCCUCGCCGUAAGGCGUCCUUUACUGUGAAAAAAUUAGAGUGUUCAAAGCAGGCAAUCGCUUGAAUACAUUAGCAUGGAAUAAUAAGAUAGGUUCUUGUCUAUUUUGUUGGUUGCGGACAACGAUAAUGAUUAAUAGGGAUAGUUGGGGGUGUCCGUAUUGAGCUGUCAGAGGUGAAAUUCUUGGAUUUGCUCAAGACGAACUACUGCGAAAGCAUUCACCAAGGAUGUUUUCAUUAA
rnacentral:rRNA from 1 species